CCUACGGUGUGCAGCAGUGAGGAAUAUUGGUCAAUGGACGAGAGUCUGAACCAGCCAAGUAGCGUGAAGGAUGACUGCCCUAUGGGUUGUAAACUUCUUUUAUAUGGGAAUAAAAUGUUCCACGUGUGGGAUUUUGUAUGUACCAUAUGAAUAAGGAUCGGCUAACUCCGUGCCAGCAGCCGCGGUAAUACGGAGGAUGCGAGCGUUAUCCGGAUUUAUUGGGUUUACAGUGUGCGCAGGCGGAAUGUCAAGUCAGCGGUAAAAUUUAGGGGCUCAACCCCGUCGUGCCGUUGAAACGGGCGUUCUUGAGUGAGCGAGAAGUAUGCGGAAUGCGUGGUGUAGCGGUGAAAGGCAUAGAUAUCACGCAGAACUCCGAUUGCGAAGGCAGCAUACCGGCGCUCAACUGACGCUCAUGCACGAAAGCGUGGGUAUCGAACAGGAUUAGAUACCCCGGUAGUC
rnacentral:rRNA from 1 species